GAGGGUGAGAGGCAUAUUUCAAAAACAGAGCAACAGCCAGAAUGGCUGGGAGUGACUGAGGCAGACAGAGGAAGCUAACAAAUUAGAAGCCGGAUCCAAAGCCAAAAUUCUCACCCACCGUAAGAAGAAAUGUCUCAAAAGAAUCUCCUCCGCAUCAGUUCCCCGUCCGCACCUCAUCCCUUCUCUGUCCUGGUGAAUUAUUGCUCACUCCACCUGGGCAUCAUCAAAUUGAAUGAUUGUUCUGUGUUUCUUCUGGAAAGGGGGGAAAGGCUGUGAGGUCUGGAGAAGGCUGGUGGGAGAAACGUCUAGACAAAGGGCACAGGAAGCCAGAGCCUUGGCUGUCACACUGAAUCAUCACGUCGACUGCUUGACAGGAACUGUGUUAUAAUACAGUCACACCCCUUCCUCAAUAUCCCCAAGCUGCAGGCUGACACCCUAGAGGAGAUAUAAGGUAAAAUAGCUGUUGGAAUUAUGAUAGAACAUGAAACAAAUCAA